UACCGGCGCCUCAAGUGGUAGUCGCUUUUAUUGGGCCUAAAACGUCCGUAGCCAGCUCUGUAAGUUUUCGGUUAAAUCUAUAUGCUCAACAUAUAGGCUGCCGAAAAUACUGCACAGCUAGGGAAUGGGAGAGGUAGACGGUACUCGGUAGGAAGGGGUAAAAUCCUUUGAUCUAUCGAUGACCACCUGUGGCGAAGGCGGUCUACCAGAACACGUUCGACGGUGAGGGAUGAAAGCUGGGGGAGCAAACCGG
rnacentral:rRNA from 1 species